GACAGAGGGGGCAAGCGUUGCUCGGAAUCACUGGGCGUAAAGGGCGCGUAGGCGGGAUGGCAAGUCAGUCGUGAAAUCUCUCGGCUCAACCGAGAAACGUCGGCUGAUACUGCCGUUCUUGAGGGAUGCAGAGGAGACUGGAAUUCCCGGUGUAGCGGUGAAAUGUGUAGAGAUCGGGAGGAACACCGGUGGCGAAGGCGGGUCUCUGGGCAAGAACUGACGCUGAGGAGCGAAAGCGUGGGGAGCGAACAGG
rnacentral:rRNA from 1 species